AUUGAACGCUGGCGGCAGGCCUAACACAUGCAAGUCGAAAGAGUGGCGGACGGGUGAGUAAUGUCUGGGAAACUGCCCGAUGGAGGGGGAUAACUACUGGAAACGAAAGCUAAUACCGCAUACCAUCAGAUGAACCCAUAUGGGAUUAGCUUGUAGGUGGGGUAACGGCUCACCUAGGCGACGAUCCCUAGCUGGUCGGAGAGGAUGACCAGCCACCCUGGAACUGAGACACGGUCCAGACUCCUACGGGAGGCAGCAGUGGGGAAUAUUGCACAAUGGGCGCAAGCCUGAUGCAGCCAUGCCGCGUGUAUGAAGAAGGCCUUCGGGUUGUAAAGUACUUUCAGCGAGGAGGCGUUACUCGCAGAAGAAGCACCGGCUAACUCCGUGCCAGCCGCCGCGGUAAUUC
rnacentral:rRNA from 1 species